rnacentral:rRNA from 1 species
CCGCUGAACUUAAGCAUAUCA